rnacentral:misc_RNA from 1 species
GAUGAAGAACGUAGCGAAAUGCGAUAAGUAAUGUGAAUUGCAGAAUUCAGUGAAUCAUCGAAUCUUUGAACGCACCUUGCGCCCUUUGGCUAUUCCAGAGGGCAUGCCUGUUUGAGUAUCAUGAACACCUCAACUCUCAUGGUUCUGCCAUGAUGAGCUUGGACUUUGGAGGUCUUGCUGGCCCCUGUGGUCAGCUCCUCUCAAAUGGAUCAGCUUGCCAGUGUUUGGUGGCAUCACAGGUGUGAUAACUAUCUACGCUUGUGGUUUUCCACCAGGUAACCUUCAGUGAUGGAGGUUCGCUGGAGCUCAUAAACGUCUCUCCUCAGCGAGGACAGCUUCUUGAACGUUUGAUCUCAAAUCAGGUAGGGCUACCCGCUGAACUUAAGCAUAUCAAUAAGCGGAGGA